GUCAGGCAGCAACAUUGCCUGGCCUUAGGGCUGCUGUGAAUGCCCGGAGGAGCCUGAACAAAGAAUGCAGCGAAAACUGCAAUAUGACUAAGAAUUAUAUUUGGACUUGGAAUAAAAGGGCUUAUAUUGGCCGUAGAACACACUUAUGGAUUCAGGCUUGACCAAUUUUUGGAUGAAUUUAAAGAUGUAAUCCACAAACGCACCUCAACCAAGCCAUCAAAGGGAUUGAUGUCAUUCUCACUGAAGUCAAUGGAAGAUUCCCAUCACCUAAAACAAUAACAGGAUUGAGCCCAUACUUGAGAUCUUGUGACUUUUGACCACUAAGUCACCAGGAUCCAUUUUUUAUACUGACAGUAUAUUUUAGCAAAGAAUAUCACUCUAUUUCAAAUACUUAUUGUAGGAUAUUUAGUUAGAAGUUGUGUUACAAAAGUGGGUCAGUCAAGUUUCUUUUUAUCCAUAUGUCUCCAUCUCUUGUUAAAAUUGGGAAUUCAUUGAUGUAUUUAUAAUGUUUAUCUUUAUUUAAGCCAACCCCCUCAAAACUUUAUCAGAUGUAAUAUUAGAUUUGUGUUAGGAGGUAAAAAUUAAAUUAGGGCCUUGUUGCACAUUAAUUCUAGGCAGUUGCUGGAACUCUUAACCCCUUGGAUUAUCCACACACUAACACCUGAAACUACUUUUAAGCACACUUUAGGCAGUUUAUAGUUUUGCCACUCCUGGGCAGGUUUAUGACUGAUCUGCAUUACCCAGCUCGUUUUCCAUUAAUGUGUGGGCCCCUCGCCACAGAUAAGCUGCUGAAGUUGCAGUCCUCCAGCAUCCCAAGAUGCAGUGUCCCAUAUCCACUUCUUUAAUUUAUUUCCUCUAUAUUUCUUUUUAAAUUCUUUUAAAUUUUUUCUUUUUAUUUCAUCCUUCAGUGGCUGACUUCCUUAAUUUCAUCACCCUUCCCCCACCCGUUUCCUUUCCAUCUCCCGUUUCAUUACUUACCCACAUCCCAUUAAUUCUCCACCUCUCAACUUCAUGUUCCUGCCCAACCCAUCUCUCAAACCCCCACCUAGAGCAGGGAUGGAAACCUGUCCUAGCUUACCAGCCUUGUAGGGCCCUUGUAGCUGUAGCUUCUAGCCAGGCCCCUGCUUGCCAGCCCUCUAGUGGCAACUUAUAGCUGUACAGACAGACAGAGAAGGGGGGCAGCCAGAGAAGGUUUUUAGCCUUAAGUUGUGACUGCUCCAAACUUGAGCUAGCACUGACAGUAAUCAACAUCUGACCAGCUCAAAGAGCAAUGUGUAACAAGCCCUUUAGAUAUGUAAUCAUUUGGCUUACCACAUGUAAUGUAAAUCCUCUCAUGGCAAAUUACUCUGAUUAAAGAGUCUUCAUGGGGACUAGUAACUA